CCCAAAAAAACUUUAAUAUAGUGCAGCAAACAUAAUGAUGCCCUAAACCCUUAAAGUUACAGAAUUGACCCCUUACUACUGCCCCUGCUUGUACCAAAUGUAAUAGUAUCUGUACCUGUCUAGUGUUAUCUUGAUGUCUACGCCUGAUAUUGCCCCCUUUUUUGGAAAAAAAUACCGGCCAUUCUAAUUUGCAUAAUUAAUUAUAUAUGCGUGACAUCACAGGGCACAGCGUACAUAAAAGAAUGAGAACAUUUGGAAGUAGAAAAUUCCCAAAUUUACUAAUAAACUACUUACAAUGUUUGUACUUUGUCUGACUGUGUGUAUAGCAUUGUAAAUGUGAGGCAGUAUGUGUAUGUACUGUCUGUAUGAGGUUGUGUGUCGAUGUCUAAAUGUGUCAUUGUCUAUAUACUUUGAGUGUGUGUCUACAAUGUCUGUGUAUGUUAUUGUGUGUUUAUAUAGUAUAUUUCAAUGUGUGUACAGGAC